UGACCGAUGGUGUAAUUGGCAACACAUCAGAUUUUGGUUCUGAGUUUCCAGGUUCGAGUCCUGGUCGGUCAGCCA
rnacentral:tRNA from 1 species